CCUACGGGAGGCAGCAGUGGGGAAUAUUGGGCAAUGGACGCAAGCCUGACCCAGCAACGCCGCGUGAAGGAAGAAGGCUUUCGGGUUGUAAACUUCUUUUGACAGGGAAGAGAAGAAGACGGUACCUGUCGAAUAAGCCACGGCUAACGACGUGCCAGCAGCCGCGGUAAUACGUAGGUGGCAAGCGUUGUCCGGAUUUACUGGGUGUAAAGGGUGUGUAGCCGGGCUGAUAAGUCAGAUGUGAAAUCCGGGGGCUCAACCCCAGAAUUGCAUUUGAAACUGUUGGGCUUGAGUAUAGGAGAGGAAGGCGGAAUUCCUAGUGUAGCGGUGAAAUGCGUAGAUAUUAGGAAGAACACCAGUGGCGAAGGCGGCCUGCUGGACGACAACUGACGGUGAGGCACGAAAGCGUGGGGAGCAAACAGGAUUAGAUACCCCUGUAGUC
rnacentral:rRNA from 1 species